GGCCUAACACAUGCAAGUCGAGCGGUAACAUUUCUAGCUUGCUAGAAGAUGACGAGCGGCGGACGGGUGAGUAAUGCUUGGGAACAUGCCUUUAGGUGGGGGACAACCAUUGGAAACGAUGGCUAAUACCGCAUAAUGUCUACGGACCAAAGGGGGCUUCGGCUCUCGCCUUUAGAUUGGCCCAAGUGGGAUUAGCUAGUUGGUGAGGUAAUGGCUCACCAAGGCAACGAUCCCUAGCUGGUUUGAGAGGAUGAUCAGCCACACUGGAACUGAGACACGGUCCAGACUCCUACGGGAGGCAGCAGUGGGGAAUAUUGCACAAUGGGCGCAAGCCUGAUGCAGCCAUGCCGCGUGUGUGAAGAAGGCCUUCGGGUUGUAAAGCACUUUCAGUUGUGAGGAAAGGUUAGUAGUUAAUACCUGCUAGCUGUGACGUUAGCAACAGAAGAAGCACCGGCUAACUCCGUGCCAGCAGCCGCGGUAAUACGGAGGGUGCGAGCGUUAAUCGGAAUUACUGGGCGUAAAGCGUACGCAGGCGGUUUGUUAAGCGAGAUGUGAAAGCCCCGGGCUCAACCUGGGAACUGCAUUUCGAACUGGCAAACUAGAGUGUGAUAGAGGGUGGUAGAAUUUCAGGUGUAGCGGUGAAAUGCGUAGAGAUCUGAAGGAAUACCGAUGGCGAAGGCAGCCACCUGGGUCAACACUGACGCUCAUGUACGAAAGCGUGGGGAGCAAACGGGAUUAGAUACCCCGGUAGUCCACGCCGUAAACGAUGUCUACUAGGAGUUCGGUUUUUCGGAACUGUCUUCCAAAGCUAACGCAUUAAGUAGACCGCCUGGGGAGUACGGCCGCAAGGUUAAAACUCAAAUGAAUUGACGGGGGCCCGCACAAGCGGUGGAGCAUGUGGUUUAAUUCGAUGCAACGCGAAGAACCUUACCUACACUUGAC
rnacentral:rRNA from 1 species